rnacentral:rRNA from 1 species
CCUACGGGUGGCAGCAGUGGGGAAUAUUGCACAAUGGGCGAAACCCUGAUGCAGCGACGCCGCGUGAGUGAAGACGUAUCUCGGUACGUAAAGCUCCAUCAGCAGGGAAGAAAAUGACGGUACCUGACUAAGAAGCCCCGGCUAACUACGUGCCAGGAGCCGCGGUAAUACGUAGGGGGCAAGCGUUAUCCGGAUUUACUGGGUGUAAAGGGAGCGUAGACGGGAGGACAAGUCCGGAGUGAAAUCCCCGGGCUUAACCCCGGAAUUGCUGUGGAAACUGGUCGGCUGGAGUGCAGGAGGGGUAAGCGGAAUGCGUGGUGUAGCGGUGAAAUGCGUAGAUAUUAGGAGGAACACCGGUGGCGAAGGCAGCUUACUGGACUGUAACUGACGUUGAGGCUCGAAAGCGUGGGGAGCAAACAGGAUUAGAUACCCUAGUAGUC